ensembl:snRNA U6 U6 spliceosomal RNA
GUGCUCACUUCAGCAGCACACAUACUAAAACUGAAACAGUACAGAGGAGAUUAGCAUGGCCCCUGUGCAAGGAUGACACACAAAUUCGUGAAGCGUUCCUUAUUUUG